rnacentral:miRNA from 1 species
UUGGUCCCUAUCAACCAGCUGU